rnacentral:rRNA from 1 species
AUUGAACGCUGGCGGCAGGCCUAACACAUGCAAGUCGAGCGGAUGAAGGGAGCUUGCUCCUGGAUUCAGCGGCGGACGGGUGAGUAAUGCCUAGGAAUCUGCCUGGUAGUGGGGGAUAACGUCCGGAAACGGGCGCUAAUACCGCAUACGUCCUGAGGGUGAAAGUGGGGGAUCUUCGGACCUCACGCUAUCAGAUGAGCCUAGGUCGGAUUAGCUAGUUGGUGGGGUAAAGGCCUACCAAGGCGACGAUCCGUAACUGGUCUGAGAGGAUGAUCAGUCACACUGGAACUGAGACACGGUCCAGACUCCUACGGGAGGCAGCAGUGGGGAAUAUUGGACAAUGGGCGAAAGCCUGAUCCAGCCAUGCCGCGUGUGUGAAGAAGGUCUUCGGAUUGUAAAGCUCUGUAAGUUGGGAGGAAGGGCAGUAAGUGAAUACCUGGCUGUUUUGACGGUACCAACAGAGUAAGCACCGGCUAACUUCGUG